CGCCUGGGGAGUACGGCCGCAAGGUUAAAACUCAAAUGAAUUGACGGGGGCCCGCACAAGCGGUGGAGCAUGUGGUUUAAUUCGACGCAACGCGAAGAACCUUACCUGGCCUUGACAUGCAGAGAACUUUCCAGAGAUGGAUUGGUGCCUUCGGGAACUCUGACACAGGUGCUGCAUGGCCGUCGUCAGCUCGUGUCGUGAGAUGUUGGGUUAAGUCCCGUAACGAGCGCAACCCCUAUCCCUAGUUGCUAGCAGUUCGGCUGAGAACUCUAGGGAGACUGCCGGUGACAAACCGGAGGAAGGUGGGGAUGACGUCAGGUCAUCAUGGCCCUUACGGCCAGGGCUACACACGUGCUACAAUGGCGCGCACAGAGGGCUGCAAACCCGCGAGGGGGAGCCAAUCUCACAAAACGCGUCGUAGUCCGGAUCGCAGUCUGCAACUCGACUGCGUGAAGUCGGAAUCGCUAGUAAUCGUGAAUCAGAAUGUCACGGUGAAUACGUUCCCGGGCCUUGUACACACCGCCCGUCACGCCAUGGGAAUGGAUUGCACCAGAAGUGGUUAGUCUAACCUUCGGGAGGACGAUCACCACGGUGUGGUUCAUGACUGGGGUGAAGUCGUAACAAGGUAACCGUA
rnacentral:rRNA from 1 species